AACGAACGCUGGCGGCGCGCUUAACACAUGCAAGUCGAACGAGAAGGCGUAGCAAUACGCUUGUACAGUGGCGAACGGGUGAGUAAUACGUGGGCGACCUACCCUCGAGUGGGGAAUAACCCGCCGAAAGGCGGGCUAAUGCCGCGUACGCUUCCAUCUUUAUGGAGGUGGAAGGAAAGCCGUGCCGUGGGCACGGCGCUCAAGGAUGGGCUCACGUCCUAUCAGCUUGCNGGUAGGGUAACGGCCUACCAAGGCUCCGACGGGUAGCUGGUCUGAGAGGACGAUCAGCCACACUGGCACUGCGACACGGGCCAGACUCCUACGGGAGGCAGCAGUGAGGAAUAUUGCGCAAUGGGCGAAAGCCUGACGCAGCGACGCCGCGUGGGGGAUGAAGGUCUUUGGAUUGUAAACCCCUUUCGGGAGGGAAGAUGGGACGGGCGAACCGUUCGGACGGUACCUCCAGAAGCAGCCACGGCUAACUUCGUGCCAGCAGCCGCA
rnacentral:rRNA from 1 species